GGGUUCAAGUCCCUCUAUCCCCA
rnacentral:tRNA from 19 species